AACGAACGCUGGCGGCAGGCUUAACACAUGCAAGUCGAACGCAUCCUUCGGGGUGAGUGGCAGACGGGUGAGUAACGCGUGGGAACGUGCCCUUCAGUUCGGGAUAACCCAGGGAAACUUGGGCUAAUACCGGAUACGUGCGAGAGCAGAAAGAUUUAUCGCUGAAGGAUCGGCCCGCGUCUGAUUAGCUAGUUGGUGGGGUAAUGGCCCACCAAGGCGACGAUCAGUAGCUGGUCUGAGAGGAUGCUCAGCCACAUUGGGACUGAGACACGGCCCAAACUCCUACGGGAGGCAGCAGUGGGGAAUAUUGGACAAUGGGCGCAAGCAUGAUCCAGCCAUGCCGCGUGAGUGAUGAAGGCCUUAGGGUUGUAAAGCUCUUUCGUCCGGGACGAUAAUGACGGUACCGGAAGAAGAAGCCCCGGCUAACUUCGUGCCAGCCGCCGCAGUAA
rnacentral:rRNA from 1 species